AUUGAACGCUGGCGGCAUGCUUUACACAUGCAAGUCGAACGGUAACAGGCCGCAAGGUGCUGACGAGUGGCGAACGGGUGAGUAAUGCAUCGGAACGUGCCCAGUCGUGGGGGAUAACGCAGCGAAAGCUGCGCUAAUACCGCAUACGAUCUAUGGAUGAAAGCGGGGGACCGUAAGGCCUCGCGCGAUUGGAGCGGCCGAUGUCAGAUUAGGUAGUUGGUGGGGUAAAGGCUCACCAAGCCAACGAUCUGUAGCUGGUCUGAGAGGACGACCAGCCACACUGGGACUGAGACACGGCCCAGACUCCUACGGGAGGCAGCAGUGGGGAAUUUUGGACAAUGGGCGCAAGCCUGAUCCAGCAAUGCCGCGUGCAGGAAGAAGGCCUUCGGGUUGUAAACUGCUUUUGUCAGGGAAGAAAUCCUCUGGGUUAAUACCCCGGGGGGAUGACGGUACCUGAAGAAUAAGCACCGGCUAACUACGCGCCAGCCGCCGCCGUAACAC
rnacentral:rRNA from 1 species